rnacentral:rRNA from 1 species
GUGCCAGCAGCCGCGGUAAUACGUAGGUGGCGAGCGUUAUCCGGAAUUAUUGGGCGUAAAGAGCGCGCAGGUGGUUGAUUAAGUCUGAUGUGAAAGCCCACGGCUUAACCGUGGAGGGUCAUUGGAAACUGGUCGACUUGAGUGCAGAAGAGGGAAGUGGAAUUCCAUGCGUAGCGGUGAAAUGCGUAGAGAUAUGGAGGAACACCAGUGGCGAAGGCGGCUUCCUGGUCUGUAACUGACACUGAGGCGCGAAAGCGUGGGGAGCAAACAGGAUUAGAUACCCCGGUAGUCC